CCUACGGGUGGCUGCAGUGGGGAAUAUUGGACAAUUGGCGAAAGCCUGAUCCAGCCAUGCCGCGUGUGUGAAGAAGGCCUUCGGGUUGUAAAGCACUUUCAGUGGGGAAGAAAGCCUUGGGGCUAAUACCCUCGAGGAAGGACAUCACCCACAGAAGAAGCACCGGCUAACUCCGUGCCAGCAGCCGCGGUAAUACGGAGGGUGCGAGCGUUAAUCGGAAUUACUGGGCGUAAAGCGCGCGUAGGCGGUCUGAUAAGCCGGUUGUGAAAGCCCCGGGCUCAACCUGGGAACGGCAUCCGGAACUGUCAGGCUAGAGUGCAGGAGAGGAAGGUAGAAUUCCCGGUGUAGCGGUGAAAUGCGUAGAGAUCGGGAGGAAUACCAGUGGCGAAGGCGGCCUUCUGGACUGACACUGACGCUGAGGUGCGAAAGCGUGGGUAGCAAACAGGAUUAGAUACCCUUGUAGUC
rnacentral:rRNA from 1 species